rnacentral:tRNA from 1 species
GCGGGUAUGGUAUAGUGGUAUUAUGUCACCCUUCCAAGGUGAAGAGACGGGUUCGAUUCCCGUUACCCGCUCCA